rnacentral:rRNA from 1 species
AGUGAACGCUGGCGGUAGGCCUAACACAUGCAAGUCGAACGGCAGCACAGUAAGAGCUUGCUCUUACGGGUGGCGAGUGGCGGACGGGUGAGGAAUACAUCGGAAUCUACUUUUUCGUGGGGGAUAACGUAGGGAAACUUACGCUAAUACCGCAUACGACCUACGGGUGAAAGCAGGGGAUCUUCGGACCUUGCGCGAUUGAAUGAGCCGAUGUCGGAUUAGCUAGUUGGCGGGGUAAAGGCCCACCAAGGCGACGAUCCGUAGCUGGUCUGAGAGGAUGAUCAGCCACACUGGAACUGAGACACGGUCCAGACUCCUACGGGAGGAAGCAGUGGGGAAUAUUGGACAAUGGGCGAAAGCCUGAUACAGCCAUACCGCGUGGGUGCAGAAGGCCUUCGGGUUGUAAAGCCAUUUUGUUGGGAAAGAAAAGCAGCAGGUUAAUACCCCGCUGUUAUGACGGUACCCAAAGAAUAAGCACCGGCUAACUUCGUG